rnacentral:rRNA from 1 species
UUCUGGUCUUAACAUAAAAUACUUUAAUAAUAAGAGCUAUGCCCUUUAAACUAAAAGGAUUUGGCGGUAAUUUAGCCCAGUUAGAGGAACCUGUUUAAUAAACGAUAAACCACGUAAUAUCUUACCUCUCCUUCAAAGCCUGUAUACCGUCAUUAUUAGAUAACUCUUAAAAGACUAGUUAUUUCAAUAAAUAAACACUUAGUAUAUUAGAUCAAGGUGCAGCCUAUGGAAAGGAUAAAAUGGGUUACAAUAAAACUUAUUUAAUACGGAUAAAAAAUUUAAAUAUUUUUUUUAAGGAGGAUUUAAUUGUAAAGUUAUUUUAAUAUGUUAACUUGAUAAUGGAUCUAAAUUGAGUACAUAUCGCCCGUCGCUUCCAUCUAUAAAUGGAAUAAGUCGUAACAUAG